rnacentral:rRNA from 1 species
CCAACCGGGAUUCCCUGAGUAAGGGCGACUGAAAGGGGAUGAGCCCAGCGCAUAACCUGGCGGUCGUUGAGUGGCCGACUAGGGGUGUUGCGUUUAGGUGGAUCCGUACCGCUCGAUUUGCUGACCGCCUAAGUGAUUGCUUGAAUGCAGCCCCUGGGAGGGUGGUAGGCCCGUGUGGCGGCGCCUUUGAAAAGGUUUGAAGCAAAUUGAGCGGAGGGAUGUUUACCUUUGAGUCGGGUUGCUUAGUACUGCAGCCCUAAGUAGGUGGUAAACUCCAUCUAAGGCUAAAUACUAACACGAGUCCGAUAUUUGACAAGUACCGUGAGGGAAAGCUGAAAAGGACUCUGAAGAGAGAGUUCAAGAGGACGUGAAACCAUUAGAAGGUGAAACGGGUGGAACCGUGAAGGUGGAAAGAGGGGAUUGAGGUUGUGGGUGGGCGGACGCCAGUCGGAUACGCAGUUGAGAGAAGACCCGGUUGACGAGUGAGUUGCCGCGGCUAUCUGGUUGGAGUGCGCCUGCCGGCAGUCUUAGUUGUGCCUCGAGUACGGAUGGUGGCGACCCGGUGAACGGAGCCCUAGGUACCCCUUGGACUGGUAGCCCUCACCUUCGGUGCGGGUGAUGACCUAGGGGGCGACUGAGCGGCUUUGUUUGGCGGUCACUGCAAGGAGGCGCGGCUCGUCCGCGCCUCUCGCCAUGAUGAAGGGAUCGG